GGUCCAUAUUGACAUGAUAGCAUCACGCAGUUGCUGGAGAUUUGUCGACCCUACCAUCAGAAUGUCAUAGUAGAAAUUGAGACUCAUCAGGCCAGGCAACGUUUUUCCAAUCUUCUAUUGUCCAAUUUUGGUUAGCAUGUGUGAAUUGUAGCGACCGUUUCCUGUUCUUAGCUGACAAUACCGGCACCUGGUGUGGUCUUCUGCUGCUUUAGCCCAACUGCUUCAGGGUUCGAUGUGUUCAGCAAGGCAUUUUCGUCCACACAACUUCUGCUCACUGGAUAUUUUCUCUUUUUCGGACCAUUCUCUGUAAAAACUAGAGAUGGUUGUGUGUGAAAAUCCCAGUAGAUCAGCAGUUUUUGAAAUACUCAGACCAGCCCAUCUGGCACCAACAACCAUUCCACGUUCAAAGUCACUUAAAGGUCCCGUUCUUCGUGAUCCCAUGUUUCAAACUUUUGUUAGUGUGUAAUGUUGUUGUUAGAGUAUAAAUAAUAUCUGUAAAAUUAUAAAGCUCAAAGUUCAAUGCCAAGCAAGAUAUUUUAUUUAACAGAAGUCGCCUACAUCGAACAGCCAGUUUGGACUACAUCCCUCGACUUCCUUCUUUAAUGACGUCACUAGAAAAGUUUUUUGACUAACCUCCGCCCACAGGAAUACACAAAAAAAGGGGGCGUGGUCUUGUUGUGAUCCCAUGGAGAAGAGGAAGAGUUGCGUUUGUAGAGUGUGUUUGUCGCCAUGUCGUCGAAAAGCUGUUAUUUUCAUCCCGGAGUCCAAUCACCUUUGUUUGGCCUUCCCAGGGACACUGUACUUAGAGAUCAAUGGUUACAAUUUAUGUUUAACUCGGUUCCCGAAAAUUAUAAUCCACAUGUAAAACUAUGUGCAGCACAUUUUGCUGAGGACAGCUUCCUCAAUCUCAAUCAGUUUAAUGCCGGAUUCGCACAAAGAUUAUUCUUGAAAGAUGGAGCAGUUCCCUCUUUGUCUGGAGAAGGCGUUGUUUAUGGACCACAACUGAGUUCAUCUCAGCAGGGACCACAUUCCCAAGAGCUCCCUGAAACAUCUUCAGUACCUGAAGCUGGAUGUCAGACAGACUCUGCAAACAUCGAAACAGUGGCCAUACAGAUAUCAGCAAAGAUGCGAUCAGUGGGCACACAACUUUCUUUUGGUACACUGAGGGAUGUCCACAUAAGAAGCAAAGGUAUGAAGUCUAGACAUGAAAUAUCAGUAGUGGCACAUAUUUGUUUGUACCAUGUUUUUACAUAG
ensembl:lncRNA